rnacentral:siRNA from 1 species
CAUCUAUGUGUUGUGGCCUAUCC